rnacentral:rRNA from 1 species
UACGUAGGGACCAAGCGUUGUUCGGAUUUACUGGGCAUAAAGGGCGCGUAGGCGGCUCCAAAAGUCAGGGGUGAAAUCCGGCAGCUUAACUGUCGCAGUGCCUUUGAUACUGUGGAGCUAGAGGGAGGUAGGGGUCUGUGGAACUUCCGGUGGAGCGGUGAAAUGCGUUGAUAUCGGAAGGAACGCCGGUGGCGAAAGCGACGGACUGGAUCUCAUCUGACGCUGAGGCGCGAAAGCCAGGGGAGCAAACGGG